CGCCAUCUUGGCCCCGCGGAGCGUGACUGUCUCGGCUGGAAGCGUGGGAGGCCGGAGGAUCAGUGACUGGCUGUCGUGGACAUGCUCGCUACACCUCCCGGGGCUUCGCUUCGUUUACUAUUAACUGUCGUUACUCCUCUGUAUCUCGUCAGCAGGGGCUGCCUGCGGUGUUAGAAUUACACGCCCCUGCCACCUGGGCACGGAGCCCAGUCUCCCGGCCCCUCAGUCAGUCCUUGGGUGUAGCUGGAGCAUUUAAGAAAAAUGAAAUAUAGGAACUCAGUGCAUGGUUUCCUGGGCCUUUUUAUUGAAUAUCAUUUCUAACAUGUACACAGUAUAACCCAGGCUUAGUGGAUUCCGGGACAGAAAAUGUUGGGAGCUGGGAUAGUCAAGUAAACAAGAAGAAAUGGUAAAGAGAUGCCAAGUGGGAGAGGAAACUACGGAUGCAGAGAGAGGAUCUGGGAUAAAGAGAACAAAGAUGCGUGGUCGACUUUAUGGAAACUCGUUUCUUUUUAAUAAGUUAGCCAAGUGAAGCAGUGGGAGUGGAGAAGGAACAAAGAAAUCUGUAAAGUAGUUGUGAUCAAUUAGUUGUAAACACCACUGCACUCAGACUCAGACCAGCUUGCAUUGAUUUUUAUGACCUAAUCUCAGAGGUUGUACAGCGUCACUUCCACUGUACUCUACUUGUUGAAGCAGCUACAAAAACACCACAUUUAAGUAAAGGGGACACUAAUUGGGAGGAGUGUUAGUCACAUUAUAAGAAGAGCAUGUGGAAUGAGAGAUUAAGUAGAGAUAUUAUUGCAGUCAUUUAAGGAAAAUAUAAUCUCCCAUAAUAUUAAUAUCUGUUUUCCUUUUGUAAAAAAAAAAUGUACCAUUUCAGGCUGAGCAUGUUGGCUCAUGCCUGUAAUCAUAACAUUUUGGGAGGCUGAGGCCAGUGGAUCACCUGAGGUCAGGAAUUCGAGACCAGCCUGGCCAACAUGGCGAAACCUCGUCUCUGUUAAAAAUACAAAAAUUAGCCGGGUGUGGUGGCAGUCACCUAUAAUCCCAGCUACUCGGAAGGCUGAGGCAGGAGAAUCGCUUGAACCCAGGGGCGGAGGUUGCAGGGAGCUGGUACCACCACUGCACUCCAGCCUGGAUGACAGAGUGAAACUCUGUCUCAAAAAAACAAAACAAAACAAAAACUAAAAUGUACCAUUUCAGAUUUUUUUUCUGAAAUUAAACCUGAAAAGGUCAAAAAACACAUAAAUUACAGUCCCUUUCAAUUACUUACCAGGUACAGGUAUUGUUUAAGUCUAUAGAAGUUCAGACUAUAGUAGUUCAAAAUACCUUAUACAGGGCAGCUUAUAAAAAGCAGAAGUUUAUUUCUCAUAGUUCUGAAGACUGGGAAGUCCGGGUUCAAGGUUCUGGCAGAUUCAGUGCCUGUCGAGGGACUGCUUUUUGGUUCACAGAUAGUGUCUUCUAGCUGUCUCCUCAUGUGGUAGAAGGGUGCCUUUUUUAUUAGUACCCCUAGUUUUAUUUAUUUUAUUUUAUUUUUUAGAGACAGGGGUUUUACUAUGUUGCCCAGGCUAGCCUCAAACUCCUGGGCUUGAGCGAUCCUCCCACCUCAGCCUCCCAAGUAGUUGGGACUACAGGCACAUGUUAAAACACCUGGUUCCUAUUAGUGGUUAUUUUAUAAAGGCACUAAUCUCAUCUGUGGCACCAGAGCCCUCAUGACCUAAUUACCUCCCAAAGAUCCCAUCCCCUAAUACCAUCAUAUUGGUGAUGAGGUUUCAAUACAUGAAUUUGGGGGGCUGGGGACACAAACAUUCAGACCACAGUAGUUGUUACAUUGAUAUGAGCUGGUAAGUGUUAACACCUGGCAGCAAUCAGAUACCCAGCCAUAGGUGAAGGCAGGUGAUUAGAAUUACCAGCCAACACAUUUAUGUGCUAGCUAAUUUUUAUUCAAAACUUUCUGAAGCUACAUUCAAAGCAGUUAAUGGGAAAUGGAGUAAAAAAAUAGGCAACCUCUCACUCUAGAUAAUGCUGUUAAAAGUAAUUUUUCCUCCCAGUCCUCUCCUGUAAUGAAUAGUAUAAGAAGGUAUCCUCCCAACGUAGAGGCACCUUGUGUUUCCAAAGUUUUAAUUAGUUGUCAUGAUAAUUUUAUGUGUCAACUUGACUGGGUUAAGGGAUGCCCAAAUAGGUAGUAAAACAUUAUUUCUGGGUGUAUCUGUGAAGGUGUUUCUGGAUAAAAUUAACAUUUGAAUGGGUAGACUGAGUAGAGCAGACUGUCCUCCCCCAUGUGGGUGGCCCUUAUCCAAAUGGUUGAAGGCUAAAAUAGAACAAAAAAGCUGAGUAGAGGGGAUUCCCUCUGCCUGACUACCUUCGAACUGGGGCGGUGGCUGUUUCCUGCCUUUGGACUUGAACUGAAACAUCAGCUCUUCCUGAGUCUUGAGCCUCCUGGCUUUUGAACUGAAACAACAGUAAUGGCUCUCCUGGUUCUCAGGCAUUUGGACUUUGACUAGAACUACACCAUCAGUUCUCCUGGGUCUCCAGCUUGCCAAUCUCCAGUUUGCCAACUGCGGAUCUUGGGACUUGUCAGCCUCCAUAACUCCAUGAACCAAUUUUUUGUAAUAAAUCUCUUUCUAUAUGUCUAUUUAUUCUGUUGGUUCUGUUUCUCUGGAGAACCCUAAUG
rnacentral:lncRNA from 1 species